CAAUUGACACGCGCAACCGCGAUGUGAAUUGCCUCUAUUGCUUCUCAUUGCGUAAAAUUUGUUUUUAUUUGUGAAAUUUAUCAAACUGUAUUAUUCGAUAACAAAGUCCAGUCUUUCCUAAUUGAAAAAAGACCGAAUAAUUUUCAAAUUAUUCAGAAUCUCUUAAAUCUGAAGAAUUUCAUGUCUAUUAGUUUCAUCCUGCCUCUUUUCGUUCCUGUUUGUAUGUAGACUACUUUUAUGAAUAAUAUACUUGCGUCGUUUCUUCGAAAAUAUCUUUCUCUUUGUAGCCCAGAAAGUUCGAGGUUAUUUUCCCAAAAAAUUUGCAUUAAAUUUGAAAAAAUGUGAAUAGUAGUUGGAACCCCAGAAUUUUCGAAAAAAGUCAAAAUUUUGUACAUUUUCAAAUUUUUCGGGGUUGACAACCGCAAAUAAGUGGUGCCCUUUUUAACAGUGUAAAUGUGACGUAACAUUACUUUCAGUUGAAAAAGCAAAUUAAUUUGAUCGAAUCAUCUAAAUCAGAAAAAAAAUAAAUCAGUAUAGUGAGUAUGUCAUCGUUGAUAAAUUCAUUAUCUGGUCAGUCUCAACAUUGAGAAUAUUAUUGUUGGCCAAAGAGUUGUAAUUUUAUCGGUAUUCCUAAAGCGAGGAUUACCAACUUGCCCACGGGCCAACUAGCCCUACUUCCCCGUAUCCACAACACAGCCGUAUUUGGAAAACACAUAAGUUCUGAUGCUACAGUACUUAAUACCCUGUAGCCAACUGCAUCCUUACCAUUAAGAAAUACAAGCCACAGAUAUCCUAUCUCGACUCUUAUGAAAUUCAUCUAGCUAUAGGGCUGUUCUACAUCUUUUUUCGCAUUUGAUUCUAUCGCGCAACGCAGCAUUCGACGGCCGAUUCUGUCUGCUAUGACGGAAUUGUAAGAGAUAGUUUAUUUUACACUAGUUCUUUGUUUUCAGUGGAAAAAAUUGUCGUUUAAAGUAGUUUAAAGUAUAGAGUAGUCUGAAGAUUUGACAUUAAUAGAAUGGGUGUCAGAAGGUGCAAAGUGUCUAACUGUCGCAACACAAAAAGCGGAAGUGUAAAAGUAUUUAGUUAACCGAAGGCGGGCAAACGACGAGACCUGUGGUUGUUAACCACCGAAAUAAUCGAGAUGAAAAUGUGGCUAACUCAGUGGCCAAAAGGGCCACGCUGCGAUGUAUUAAACACGAACGAGGUUACAAAUGCAAAAAAGGGGGCGACAGGUUUGCGACUGUCCACCACAACGAAAACGAAUCAGAAGGACCUCGUUGCCGCAUUUCCCUCCGUCUUCGACUACGACGGAAAUGCAGAAAAAGGGUAAAACAAAAGAAGGGUGCUAACGCGAACAUUUAGUUUUAGGUGUAAAUGGAGUGGCGGAAGUGUAAGGGAGGGUAACCUAUAGCAAAACCAAAGGGUAUUAGUUUAGCCAAGGUCAGACAAGUUUAGACUUGUCUGCCCCUCGGCAAUGACACGAUCAUACACACACACGCACAUACACACACAGGCAUACAAAACGAAAAUUAAAUAAACAUUAAUUCCUAACGACUUCUGUCGUUAACAGACGCAUGGACUAGUAGAAAUCAAUCGUAUCUCGGUGAGACCAUUCAUUGGUUUGACGGCGAAUCCUUAAAACGAAGAAGUGCCUGUCUUGGCAUACGACGGAUCAAAGGGCGCCAUACGUAUGAAGUGCUGACAAAAAUGAUUAAAGAUCUCCCACAAGGUAUAUGAAGUAGUUGACAAGCUGCGAGGGGCAACAACCGACAACGGUUCCAAAUUUUUAAAGGCCUUUCGGGAGAGUGGGAAUGCAUCUGAUGUGCCCAACUAUGAUGAUGAUGACUUUGAACAAUCUGACGAAAAAGACAUGUUAUACUUCAAAAUUGGUGAAAUUAUUGACGGUAGAAUCACACAAGACUAUUUCGCUAACAAUGUGAAUCCCACUCUACCUAUGCACCGAAAAUGUGCCUGUCAUCUGUUGAGUUUGAUAGCGAAGGCUGACAUAUCAAAGAUUCAAGAUCACACAUUUCAAGAAUUGAGAAAUUCGACGCUUGUAAAAAUUCAACUUUUGCUGAAUAAACAAACAUGAAGUCUCUUGAAUUUGGAUCUCAUAACGGAACUAAUUGGACAACUGUUCAUUCAAAAAAACGAAACAAGAUGGAAUUCAGAGUAUUACGCUAUAUACGCUGCAUUGUCCGAUUAUUGAGAACGAAGAGUCGUGGCAUGAAGAAACUUUUUGAAGAGCUUCGUUCAACUCCUUUUACACCUAACGAGGAGCAAUUCCUGAAGGAAUACACAAGGAUAAUGGGAUAUAUCACUGAUGCGUUAGACGUGUUGCAAGGCGAGAAAAAUAUUGGCUUGGGGUUUCUACUUCCAACAAUUUCUGUUUAAAAAAAAACUGGCUUUGCUACAAGACAAUGCGUCGAUUAUUAAAUGUCAAUCACUAAUCACCGGACUGCUUGACGCUAUCUAUGAGAGAUUUGAACACAUGUUCUCAGAUAAUGAGCUACGUUUGGCUCCGAUUACGAACCCAUUUUUUAAGCUAUCAUGGUUGGAUAAUGAAGACGAUGUUCGUCGCGCAAAAAUAUUGCUCAGAGGAGAAUUUGUCCGGUUUCAGAGACUAAACAACGAGUCCGAAUCUUCGGAUGAUUUAAGUGACAGGACCUCCUCUUCAGUAUCAGAUCCUAGUCCGGAGAAAAAACAGAGACGCUCGAAAGAUUUUUUUGCCUCAAUUACUAAACGAAAUGAAAAGUCAAAGGUAAUUGAUGAAGUAGAGACAUUCCUUAAGAUGUGUGGCAAUCUAGAUGACCUACCAAAUUAUCCAACCAUCAUGAAGAUGUAUAAACGAUCCUUUGCCCUCUUCCGCCGCAGUCGAGAGACUUUUUAGUCAAGUUGGACUUAUUUUUACCGCAAAGAGAUAUCAACUUACCGACCAACAUUUUGAAAUGUUACUUUAAAAAAAAAUUAACAACCUA